rfam:Felis catus isolate Cinnamon breed Abyssinian chromosome F2, whole genome shotgun sequence.
GCCUGGGUGGCUCAAUCGGUUAAGCGCCUGACUUUGGCUCAGGUCAUGAUCUCGGCUGUUCGUGGGUUCGAGCCCCACAUCAGGCU